AUACGUAGGGUGCGAGCGUUAAUCGGAAUUACUGGGCGUAAAGCGAGCGCAGACGGUUAUUUAAGCAAGAUGUGAAAGCCCCGGGCUCAACCUGGGAACUGCGUUUUGAACUGGGUAACUAGAGUGUGUCAGAGGGGGGUAGAAUUCCACGUGUAGCAGUGAAAUGCGUAGAGAUGUGGAGGAAUACCGAUGGCGAAGGCAGCCCCCUGGGAUAACACUGACGUUCAUGCUCGAAAGCGUGGGUAGCAAACAGGAUUAGAUACCCCGGUAGUCCACGCCCUAAACGAUGUCAAUUAGCUGUUGGGGUACUUGAUGCCUUAGUAGCGUAGCUAACGCGUGAAAUUGACCGCCUGGGGAGUACGGUCGCAAAGAUUAAAAACUCAAAGGAAUUGACGGGGACCCGCACAAGCGGUGGAUGAUGUGGAUUAAUUCGAUGCAACGCGAAGAACCUUACCUGGUCUUGACAUGUACGGAAUCCUCCAGAGACGGAGGAGUGCCUUCGGGAGCCGUAAC
rnacentral:rRNA from 1 species